UAUGAUAUGGCAUAGUACAUAUUUGCAAAAUAUUUCUCAUUUGUUUUUUUGUUUUUUUUUACAGUGGUGGCCAUUUAAUGGCUUGUCCAAAAAAACAGUUUUCUUUCUUCUUGCAUGGCCUUUCAUUGUUAAUUUUCUUCUCAACACCAUCUGCAGAAAAAGACGCACCAGAUAAAGACAAAAGAAUGCAGAAUGCAAAGACGAGUGACUGUGAUGACAAGUCCUGGAAGUUGCUGUGGAAGUGUCGAAUGUUUCUUUCAUCUUGCUUUUACCAAGCACUCCAGAGAUUUUUAAACAAGAAACGCCUUUCAAGGUGUUUUUAUGAUUAUAAUGAUGAAUGCUGCAUUUUAUGUGAUGUUCUUCUCCUUAUCAGAUUUAAAUAACAGGAGCAUUAGAGGCUUUUUUCAUAUCUUGCAAAAUCUCAGUUUGCGUAAAUAUUUCCAGAAAACAAAAAAAGUAAAUUGAUUUUCCAGUUAAAUUUUGUGAUGGGGUGGUGACUGCAGCAUUGCUAAUGUUUAAUAGGCUAAUCCAGUAAUAAUUCCCAUGCUGCUUGAGUGCUACGCAUAAAUUGUUGUGAACUUCUGCAGGAAUAUAUAUAUUUUUUGGUCUCCUAUUUAAAAAUGUCAUGCAUGCUGUAAAUGAGCUCACUGUGACAAGACUGUGAAGAAAGCAUAUGUGUGUAGAAGUGAGUGGCCAAAAACUGUUAAUUAAACCAUACUCUACUAUCUUUUGAUAUUUUUCAAGUAUACAAAUCACAUUUUAAUUUUUGAGAGAAAGUGUGUAUGUGUGUUGAGAUAAUAGCUGCCGCUUUGAUUGACUCUAAAACAGUGUUGUGUUCUUGCCUUCGAUUUUUUGGGGGAGAGUGGGUGGCAUUGAACAACAAACUAGUUGUUAGUGAACUGUGAAUAAAACCUGUACAUAUUUUUUAUCUAAGAAGCAAACUUUAGGUUGGAGCAAUUAUUGCAAAUCUAAUGAAACGAAACUUUUAUAAGUGAAAAAUGCCUGUUUAUUUAGAGAGGUAACAGGAUAAAUCAGCACAACUGAUUGAAAGAUUGUCAUUGACAGGUGAUGCAAACAUUGCUAAGUGAUACUAAUAUUGUCUUGAUUUUCCUUUGAGGGAAGGGCAAUAUGAUUUGUCAAAUAAUGCUAAUACUCAUAUGAAGAGGAAAAGACUUAUUUUUAUGUGAAUGCUAAUAAAGUUUUUUUUUAAGAUUCAUU